CUAAUGUAUUUUCUCUUCGGAAUUGGAACUAAUUUUCUUAGAUUUGUUUUCAGGUUAAAGACAAUUAAUCAAUGUAUUUUCUAAUAGAAGUUUUGGAACUAAUUUGCAUUGACAUGUGUUUUUGUAAUAAGGUUCAAGACAAAUAAUUAAUGUUUUUUCACCUAGAAAUUGGAAUUACAUGUAAUUCUUGGUGUUUUGUUUUAAGGUUUAAGACAGCAAUUAAUGUAUUUUUCAAUAAUUUAAUUUUGUUUAUAUCCUAGUCUCUCAUUGGUUGAUUUCCAAAAAGGAACGCAAACUAUUUCUCAAUAACCUGGUUUGGUAUGGGGACACACCCCCUUCACAACCAGCUGAAUCAUUUGUAUCAAUGCAAUCCUCUCAUUUCCAGUCCAUGGGAUUCAUAAAAAAUUCCAGAUUUAAUGUACCUUUAACUUCAAACAUUAGCCCGAUCUUACCUCAUGUAAACAAACAUCAUGGCUGCUGGAUCUGUGUAUCAGUUAUUAUGUCCCCUUGUUUCAAAUCACUUCCAUAACUAGGGAUUUUUAUUCAGCGGCAAAUUUGAACUCAUAAAAAGCACCACAAUAUUUACACCCACAGUUGUUUAAUUAUAAUUUAAAUUAUAAGGAAUGACUCUAAUUCUGGGCCAAAUUAUUAUUAUAACCUGGUUUGCGUCAAUUUACGCUUUUUUAUAAUCCACUUCGUGAAACUUGUAUUUUUUUCUAGAUUAAAAGCAGUAAUAAUGAUCGAUUUUCUCAUUAAAUUGGAUUUGAUUUUUAUAGGUUGUUUUGCUAUUCAGGUUCAAGACAGUAACUACAUAAUGUUUUUUUUUCAUCAAGAACUUAACUAUUUUCAUGGAUUAAUUUAUUGUUAGCUACAAAAACAUUGAUAUCUUAUAAAAGGUACACUUAAGACUUGAGAAAUUUGUAUUACAAUUGUUAAGUGAAGUACUCCAAAAAAUUUGGUGUAUGGGGAAACUGCGCGAUAUCCUAAAGUUUGAUACGCAUAAAGUUACGAAUGAUUACUUAUUGGGCUAAAUUUUUUAUUAAGAGAUAUCUUGAAUUUGUGCGGUCUGUCUUAUGUGUGGAUGAAUCAAAAUUUCAUUCAGUAUUACAUGGAUAAAAUCUAUUAUCAUGUUGAAAGAAAUACUAUUAGAUCAAUUUUUUACAAGACUGGCAUAAUUAUGAGCAUAGAUAAAAAUAUUUAAGAAUUGUAUUAACAAUUAAUUUAAAUUUUAAACUUGUAACCUCAAACUUCCAAUCGACACUGGUAGAUCUUUAAGAAUAUGUAAUUUGAUUAAUAUGUAAUAAAAAUGCUUUAGGGAUGAAUUUCAUUAUGUAAAUAAUGGAAUGUCCAUAUUUUCAUCAUGUUGGAAACUUUAAUAUUGAUAAGAAGUAUUGUUCUCAUGUUAAUACUAAUAUAAUAAAGUUUAAGAAAAAUUAUGUCCAUCACAAUUAAAUGUUGACUCGCUGAUAGAGCUGUCUUUGUUUGCUAAGAAGAUAUUGGCCUAGCUCAGCUUUCAGUAACUAUUUUCUUAUUUGACACUUGUAACUCUUCCUGACUUGACUUUGUAGUUUGUAUAUAUGUAAAUGUGUUCUUGUACGUCAUAUACCAUUGUGACAAAAUUAAGAAUUAGCAUUAGGGUUAUAAUUAAUUAAACUGUUUAUUAUGAUAUACAUGUAUAUGAUAUCUGAUCACAUACUAAAUUUAAUUCAUAUUGCAUACAUUAUUUUUAUGCAUACAUGAUCUAAGAUUAUUGGAAUGUAUAUUUGACCUGGCUGGAAUAUAGCAUAAUAAUUUGUACUCUGAAUAAGCAUUUUCUGUGCAUUAUAUGAGUUUACUAAAAAUUAAUAUUACCACUGAGUGGAGAAAAUUAUUACAUGUAUAGGUGCCCUUGAAAGAAUACUGUAAAUGUCGGCCUCUGUUUAAACAAAGACAACUAUCAAAGUUGAAAUGAAUCUUGGAUGGGUCAGGUUAUAUUAUGUUCAAAUUAUUAUUUAUCUAAGACAUAAUGCCGUUACUGUGGAAGAAAAGAAAAUGGAAUAUAUUAGACAUGGAGAUAAAGAACAGUAUUCAAGCUCAAAAAAGCUCAAAAGUUGAUCCAGAUAAACAAUACAAAUCAAGGGCAGAUCAAGCCAACAUGGACCUCCAAAACACCAGAGAUGGGAUCAGGUGUCAUGGAGGAGUGAGCAUCCCCUGUCGAAGAAGAUAAAGCCAUACCAAGUUUUUGCCGAUCCUGGAGGGACCCCAAGUCCAGGUGAUGUCCAGAAAGUACUACAUUCCGGAGGACAGAAGCCAUUUAAACCAAUCAUGUCCAAAUACAUCUGUCUGAUGAUCAGUGCCAAAGGUGUGCGUGAUACAACUUCCUAGAUGGUGUGUAGGCUGUUUAUCAACAUGUGAAACCCAUGUGUAUUUCAGGGUUGGUAUGUUUAUACUGUCAAUUUUCUUUCUUAAAAGCCACAUGAGGCAUUUAUUAUGCCCCCCUAUGAAGAAGGGAGGGCAUAUUGCUUUGCUGCUGUCGAUCGGUCUGU